rnacentral:rRNA from 1 species
UUUCCAGCAGCCGCGGUAAUACGUAGGGUGCAGGCGUUAAUCGGAAUUACUGGGCGUAAAGCGUGCGCAGGCGGCUCCUUAAGUCAGAUGUGAAAUCCCCGGGCUUAACCUGGGAACUGCGUUUGAAACUGGGGAGCUAGAGUGUGGAAGAGGGGGGUGGAAUUCCAGGUGUAGCAGUGAAAUGCGUAGAUAUCUGGAGGAACACCGAUGGCGAAGGCAGCCCCCUGGGCUAACACUGACGCUCAUGCACGAAAGCGUGGGGAGCAAACAGGAUUAGAUACCCCGGUAGUCC